rnacentral:rRNA from 1 species
AGAGCGAACGCUGGCGGCAGGCUUAACACAUGCAAGUCGAGCGGGCGUAGCAAUACGUCAGCGGCAGACGGGUGAGUAACGCGUGGGAACGUACCUUUUGGUUCGGAACAACACAGGGAAACUUGUGCUAAUACCGGAUAAGCCCUUACGGGGAAAGAUUUAUCGCCAAAAGAUCGGCCCGCGUCUGAUUAGCUAGUUGGUGAGGUAACGGCUCACCAAGGCGACGAUCAGUAGCUGGUCUGAGAGGAUGAUCAGCCACAUUGGGACUGAGACACGGCCCAAACUCCUACGGGAGGCAGCAGUGGGGAAUAUUGGACAAUGGGCGCAAGCCUGAUCCAGCCAUGCCGCGUGAGUGAUGAAGACCUUAGGGUUGUAAAGCUCUGUCGGAGGGGAAGAACACAAUGACGGUACCCUCCAAGAAAGCCCCGGCUAACUACGUGCCAGCAGCCGC